rnacentral:lncRNA from 1 species
UAGGGUAGGUGAUAAUCGUAGAUGAUGAAGUAUCCGGAUAUGUAAAUCCUUUAAGGGUGGUCUUCCAUUCUGUAAUGUAGGCCUUUGUAACGUGCUGUAAUGUACUUUUCCUUUAAUGAAAUGCUUGUUUUUCAUUCAUACUUGAGCUUGUUCUUUUCUCUGUCAUGGAUGAAGUACUGAUACUGUUUUCUUCAUAGCCUUAGCCGAUCAAACUUUAUUUUUUCCGAUCUGACCGUAUUUCGUGAACUCUUGCUUUUAAUCGAUGGGCCGAGCUCCGGGCCUACUUAACCAACUGGGCGGUCGGUUUACUUUUCCGAGCUUGACUAACCGACCUGUGAGCUCGGUCUGUACUUGAUGGAUUGAGCUUUGAGCCUCCUUUAGCCGACCGAGCUCUAAAGCUAUGUUUUCCGAGCUGGACUAAUCCGACCUGUGAGCUCGGCCUUUUAAUCCUUGAGUUAAUUUCUGAGCUCUCAGCUCUGUAUG